GUGUUCGCUUCAGCAGCACAGGCCCUAAAAUUAGGAAAAUACUAAGAAGAUUAGCAUGGCCCCUGAGCAAGGAAGACAUGCAAAUUUGUGAAGCAUUCCAUAUUUUU
ensembl:snRNA U6 U6 spliceosomal RNA